rnacentral:tRNA from 1 species
UCUUUGUUGGCUCAGAUGGUAAAGAACCUGCCUGCAAUGUGGGAGACCCAGGUUCGAUCCCUGGAUAAGGAA